rnacentral:misc_RNA from 1 species
GUAAGGAGUAAAUUGGAUAAGUCUAUUUGCUUACUUUAUUUGGCAUUUCUUAAGAAAAUAGCCUGGCCUAACUCAUUCUUAAAAGCUAGCUCAAGGGAGGAGUGCCCAAGGCCAUAAAAAGGACACAUUACCCCUAUCCCAAACCAGUAUGGGAUAUUAACAGCAUUAAUAUACAGAAUUUAUUCUGCUAGAUAUUGUUGCAAACCCAUUGUCUUAAUGAUU